UAGUAAUGGUAUUUCUAAUAA
ensembl:piRNA 21ur-3083 ncRNA